UACGUAGGGUCCAAGCGUUAAUCGGAAUUACUGGGCGUAAAGGGCGCGUAGGCGGUCGUGACAAGUCACUUGUGAAAUCUCCGGGCUUAACUCGGAACGGUCAGAUGAUACUGCUUUGCUCGAGUGCGGAAGGGGCAAUCGGAAUUCUUGGUGUAGCGGUGAAAUGCGUAGAUAUCAAGAGGAACACCUGAGGUGAAGACGGGUUGCUGGGCCGACACUGACGCUGAUAGCGCGAAAGCCAGGGGAGCAAACGGGG
rnacentral:rRNA from 1 species